rfam:Beta vulgaris subsp. vulgaris chromosome 6, whole genome shotgun sequence.
GUCUCUUCAGAGACAUCUGAUAAAAUUGGAACGAUACAGAGAAGAUUAGCAUGGACCCUGCACAAGAAUGACACACACAACUGGAGACUAGGUCCAUACUUUU